rfam:Oryza glumipatula chromosome 2, whole genome shotgun sequence.
AAUAAGGGCAGUUGUAGAUUUUAGUGUCCAACUUUAACUAUCUGUUUUAUUUAAAAUAUUUUUAUGAUUAGUAAUUUUAUUGUUAUUAGAUGAUAAAAUAUGAAUAGUAAUUUAUGUAUGACUUAACUUUUAAAAUUUUUUCAUAAAUUUUUCAAAUAAGACGAAUAGUCAAACGUUGGUCAUGGAAACUUAUGGCUGCACUUAUA